AUCAACUUUCGAUGGUAGGAUAGAGGCCUACCAUGGUGGUAACGGGCAACGGGGUGUUAGGGCACGACACCGGAGAGGGAGCCUGAGAAACGGCUACCACAUCCAAGGAUGGCAGCAGGCGCGCAAAUUACCCAAUCCCGACACGGGGAGGUAGUGACAAUAAAUAACAAUACGGGGUUCUUUAGGAUCUCGUAAUUGGAAUGAGUACAAUUUAAAUCUCUUAACGAGGAACAAUUGGAGGGCAAGUCUGGUGCCAGCAGCCGCGGUAAUUCCAGCUCCAAUAGCGUAUAUUAAAGUUGUUGCAGUUAAAAAGCUCGUAGUUGAAUUUCGGGGUCAGUAGGUUGGUCGUGCCACAGGUAUGAACUGGUCUCACUGAUUCCUCCUUCCUGAUGAACCGUAAUGCCAUUAAUUUGGUGUUGCGGGAGACUGGACUGUUACUUUGAAAAAAUUAGAGUGUUUAAAGCAGGCUAGCGCUUGAAUACAUUAGCAUGGAAUAAUGAAAUAGGACGUUCGAUCCUAUUUUGUUGGUUUCUAGGAUUGACGUAAUGAUUAAUAGGGAUAGUUGGGGGCAUUAGUAUUCAAUUGUCAGAGGUGAAAUUCUUGGAUUUAUUGAAGACUAACUACUGCGAAGGCAUUUGCCAAGGAUGUUUUCAUUAAUCAAGAACGAAAGUUAGGGGAUCGAAGACGAUCAGAUACCGUCGUAGUCUUAACCAUAAACUAUGCCGACUAGGGAUCGGAUGAUGUUAAUUUUUUAAUGACUCAUUCGGCGCCUUACGGGAAACCAAAGUGUUUGGGUUC
rnacentral:rRNA from 1 species